GACAGAGGGGGCAAGCGUUGUUCGGAUUCACUGGGCGUAAAGGGUGCGUAGGCGGUCGGGUAAGUCUGACGUGAAAUCUCCGGGCCUAACCCGGAAACUGCGUUGGAUACUAUCCAACUAGAGGAAUGGAGGGGAGACUGGAAUACUUGGUGUAGCAGUGAAAUGCGUAGAUAUCAAGUGGAACACCAGUGGCGAAGGCGAGUCUCUGGACAUUUCCUGACGCUGAGGCACGAAGGUCAGGGGAGCAAACGGG
rnacentral:rRNA from 1 species